rnacentral:rRNA from 1 species
GUGAGAAUCUACCUUUAGGUUGGGGACAACAGUUGGAAACGACUGCUAAUACCCAAUGUGCCGYAAGGUGAAAGUUUUAAUGCCUAAAGAUGAGCUCGCGUCUGAUUAGCUAGUAGGUGUGGUAAGAGCGCACCUAGGCGACGAUCAGUAACUGGUCUGAGAGGACGAUCAGUCACACUGGAACUGAGACACGGUCCAGACUCCUACGGGAGGCAGCAGUGGGGAAUUUUCCGCAAUGGGCGAAAGCCUGACGGAGCAAUACCGCGUGAGGGACGAAGGCUCUUGGGUCGUAAACCUCUUUUCUCAAGGAAGAUAAUGACGGUACUUGAGGAAUCAGCAUCGGCUAACUCCGUGCCAGCAGCCGCGGUAAUACGGAGGAUGCAAGCGUUAUCCGGAAUGAUUGGGCGUAAAGCGUCCGCAGGUGGUUUUGUAAGUCUGCUGUUAAAGCGUCAUGCUCAACAUGAUUAAAGCGGUGGAAACUACAAGACUAGAGUGCGUUAGGGGUGAAGGGAAUUCCUGGUGUAGCGGUGAAAUGCGUAGAGAUCAGGAAGAACACCGGUGGCGAAGGCGCUUCACUAUGCCGCAACUGACACUGAGGGACGAAAGCUAGGGGAGCGAAUG